CAACUCGUAACGGGGAUGUCUCGGCUCCUGCAUCGAUGAANAACGCAGC
rnacentral:rRNA from 1 species